rnacentral:lncRNA from 1 species
GAUCGGUGAAAAGGCUAGGGUUGGGGGUUUAUGAGGUAUUAAUCGGUGAACAAAGAAGAUUCACCGAUUGAAUCGGUGGAAAAGAAGGAAUCUCCAUUUUAACCGGUGAAUGGAGCGAGAACAGAGUUUCAAUCGGAAAAAGGAUGAUUUAUAGUGAGGGAAGACGAAUCGGAGAAAUGGAUCGGUGAGAAGACUUACGGUGGAGUUGAGACGUGAAGGUGUCGAUGUGGUUUGGAGGAUGACGCUCUGGAGAACGAAAGAGCAUGGUGGCAGACGCUCUUGAGAGGGAGAUCUAGGGUUUGGCGUGAAAUAAGUAAAUGAAAAUGUUCUUGCUGAUGAAAGUAGAUAGGAAUGUGUGGCUGACGCAGGCCACGCGGCAAAGUUGAGUGGUGUACGGUGGUGUUUAGGUGGAGGAGAGAGAAACUGAUGGUGGAAAAAUGAGAGAUUGGUAAGUGUGAGAUGGAAGGUGGCUAGAGGAGAUCCUUUGGGAUUCUCUAGCCUUGACUUUCAAGGCAGAAUUGCUCUAGAGUGAUUCUCAACAGAAAAACAAUUCAAUUAGCUCAAAAGUGAAGUACAAUAAGGUAGGCAUGACUAUUUAUAGGACUAGAGGUCCUACAUGCCUAACACAAUACAAAAUACAUCAAAGAAAUACUAAACUAAAGAAAGUGGGCUUAGGCCCCGCGUAUCACACUUCCUAGUUAUACUGCAUUCCUAAUUGCACAUUAAAUUUGUGUGGGUUGCGACACCCAUCAGAGAGCAAGGAGAAAUCCUCUCCAAUAGGAGGG